UAGCGGCAAACCAUUAUUUCUUCAGCAACUUUUAACAUUGCGUGUCGCUUCAAAUUCUAAGCAAAGAUAUUUAGCUUGACUACAAUGAAGUGUCUAGCAUUGAUGGCCCUCAUGACGAUGGUUGUAAUGUUGCUUUUGAAUACGUGUGACGCGGCAAUUGGAAUUCCCUGUAUACCUCGCAAAGGCUUCAGUUGCCCACAAGAACGACGUGGUGCCGGUGGAAUCAUAUCCCGUGCAAUUCAAUAGAUUCUUCCUCUCCAGCUGCAAUAAUACUAUCAAGAUUUAUAAUUUUUCUAUGUUAUAUCGAAUACAAAGUUAUAAAGUCUCUACUAACUCCAAAUUCUUACAACAUGGAUCUCUUUAAACAUAGGCAAACGUAGGCAUUGGCUUGUUCUUUGCGAAGUCAAUGCGGCUUAUCAUCACUCCCCACCAGACGAUAAUAUUGCAACAAAAUAAUUAUAAUAUUGUAAUAAAUUUUGAUUAUAUAAUUUUAUUUCGUGUAUUUUCGCAACAAUCUCGAUUUAUUCUGCUUGUUAUCCGGCUGCCAAAAGACAAGGGUAAUGUUUUUUAUUCUGUUAAAAUACAUUAUAUUUGCAAUGUAAUAAAUAAAAACACUUUAACCAAAAA